UUUGCUAUCACUUAUAGAUGGACCCGCGCCGUAUUAGCUAGUUGGUAAGGUAACGGCUUACCAAGGCAACGAUACGUAGCCGACCUGAGAGGGUGAUCGGCCACACUGGAAACUGAGACACGGUCCAGACUCCUACGGGAGGCAGCAGUAGGGAAUCUUCCGCAAUGGGCGAAAGCCUGACGGAGCAACGCCGCGUGAGUGAUGAAGGGUUUCGGCUCGUAAAACUCUGUUAUUAGGGAAGAACAAAUGUGUAAGUAACUGUGCACAUCUUGACGGUACCUAAUCAGAAAGCCACGGCUAACUACGUGCCAGCAGCCGCGGUAAUACGUAGGUGGCAAGCGUUAUCCGGAAUUAUUGGGCGUAAAGCGCGCGUAGGCGGUUUCUUAAGUCUGAUGUGAAAGCCCACGGCUCAACCGUGGAGGGUCAUUGGAAACUGGGAAACUUGAGUGCAGAAGAGGAAAGUGGAAUUCCAUGUGUAGCGGUGAAAUGCGCAGAGAUAUGGAGGAACACCAGUGGCGAAGGCGACUUUCUGGUCUGUAACUGACGCUGAUGUGCGAAAGCGUGGGGAUCAAACAGGAUUAGAUACCCUGGUAGUCCACGCCGUAAACGAUGAGUGCUAAGUGUUAGGGGGUUUCCGCCCCUUAGUGCUGCAGC
rnacentral:rRNA from 1 species